rnacentral:lncRNA from 11 species
GGGCCGGGCGGAAGUCCAGCGAGAGCGGGAGGCCUCCGCUUCCUAGAGGGGCGGCGCCACUUCCGGGCAGUUCCUCGAGGGCGGCGGAGAGCUGAGGAGAGCGGGAGGCGGCAGUAUUUAUAUUCCAAAAUAUCACGAUUUAUUGAAAAAUCAACUACAAAAAUAUGUUGGAUAAUCCAGAACAUUGGAUAAGCGAGUGUUGGAUAAGUAAGAC